rnacentral:lncRNA from 1 species
UUUCUGGUGCACUGCCAAAAAAAACUCAGGCAGAGAACACAGAUUACAUACAUGAAAAUACAAAUUAAAUACUUUUUUAGAAGAUGAAAAAAAAGCAUCAAAUAACAGCUUUUUUUCUUCUUCUUUUACAUACUACAGUAGCAUGCAUAAAGUAGCAGAUUAUAAAACAAUACGCACACUACACCAUCAACAUCAACUUAUUAGAGCCGGAGAAGUCGCCGGAGACUAUCAGUAGCUCCGACGUCAACGCCGGAAGCCUCCGCCUUGCAACUGACCUUUGCCCGGAGAAAAAAAGUCGGCAACGGCAAGCUGCUAGGCGGUGGAGAAGGAGUAAACACAGAAGAACCUGAAAACUCAUCAACAAUAUCGUCACAAUUGUUCACCGAUGACGAUAAAACCCUAGGCAUCACAUCUUCCUUCAGAUCUGGUCCGAUCUCAUCAUUAUUCAAUGAUUCCGUCGUUUUUUCCGGCGAUGGCGCUUCCUUUUCCUCCGCAGUAACCGUCGGAACCACCGGCGGAGCCAGAUCUACAACCUCUCUCUUCGAAUCCUUCUUCUGAUUCUUCGAUUUUUUCGGCGUUAGAGAUUGAUCUCGCACUCGGUUUUUAACGUUUUUGUUAACAACUUUGUUGAUUCGAGGAGGCGAUAACCGAAUAUUAUUGUUGUUAUUAUAAUUAGAAGCGCUAUUACAACGAGAGAAGUUCGUGUUUUGAUGAUUUAGCGGUGUUAAGAUCGGAAGAGGAAGAAGCGGCGGUUGUUGACGGUAGUGGUGAAGGUUCUGUGGCGGCCGGAAAACUGAAACGGCCGGCGGAUAUGACGGCAAACCGUUUCCGGUGAAGUAACCACCGGCGAGAAAACUGGAUAAAAGUAUAUUAUCUGAUGGAUAUGGAAAUAAACUACGGUUUGUUACGAAAUUCCGGUUCAGAUUUCCGAACCGGUGCUUGUUAUCGCCGGUUGAGUUCAUCAUAACUGCCUCCAUUGAUAAAACUUUGCAGAUUCAAAUACAAACAACACAAAACAAAAAAAAAACAAAAAAAAAAAAAACAGAAAUUAUGAAAAUAAGAUGUGAAUGAUCUCAAAUAAAUACGGAUCAAAAGCACAUAAAUUGAAGAAAUUAGUAGUUUUAUGAUUAAUGAUGAGAGAAAAGGGGAUCUGAAGGAGAAGAAACCCUGAAAGGAAGGGUUUUGUCAGUUUUGGUAACAGACAGUUUGCAUCGUUGAAUGAAUGAAUGAAAGACUCGAGAGGAGGGUUUAAAUAGAGGAAAAUCUCAACGGCUACUUGUAUUUUUUUUUAUUGUAUGAUAAUAUAGUUUCAUCAUUGUGUUUUCUUUA